rnacentral:rRNA from 1 species
GACGAACGCUGGCGGCGUGCUUAACACAUGCAAGUCGAACGGAAAGGCCCUGCUUGCCGGGUACUCGAGUGGCGAACGGGUGAGUAACACGUGGGUGAUCUGCCCUGCACUUCGGGAUAAGCUUGGGAAACUGGGUCUAAUACCGGAUAGGAACCAUCUUUAGUGUGGUGGUUGGAAAGUUUUUUCGGUGUAGGAUGAGCUCGCGGCCUAUCAGCUUGUUGGUGGGGUAAUGGCCUACCAAGGCGGCGACGGGUAGCCGGCCUGAGGGGGUGUACGGCCACAUUGGGACUGAGAUACGGCCCAGACUCCUACGGGAGGCAGCAGUGGGGAAUAUUGCACAAUGGGCGCAAGCCUGAUGCAGCGACGCCGCGUGGGGGAUGAAGGCCUUCGGGUUGUAAACUCCUUUCGCUAGGGAAGAAGCUUUGUUGUGACGGUACCUAGAUAAGAAGCACCGGCUAACUACGUG